rnacentral:rRNA from 1 species
AUGGAGCUGAUAGAUGCAGAGCCGGUUCUGUCGACACAUGUGAAUAGAAUGAACGAGUCACCUAUGUAUAUUGCAGCGAUGAGGGAUUUUACUGAUAGUUCAGAGAUUUUACUUGAAAUUCCUGUUUCUGCUCAUAUGGGACCAUGGGGCCAGAACACUCUGCAGGCUGCCGUGAAGAAUGGAAACGCAGGUUUGGCUAAGAGAAUUGUGGAAACACGUCCUGGGCUGGCCAAAGAAGCCGAUAACAAUGGGUGUACUCCGCUAAGUUCAGCUGUAUAUCGUGGCCUGGUUGACGUGUUACGAGUAUUGCUGGAACAUGAUUGCUCUUUAGGGUAUGAUGUGCCAAGUAAUGAUGCCUGUUGGACAUCCCUCCAUGUAGCUGUAUACGAGGAUCAAGUGGAGUUCACAGAAUUCAUCUUGAGGACCCCACAACUUCGGAAACUCAUUAACAUGCGAGACUCCAACGGGAAAACUGCUCUACAUUUGGCGGUAGAGAAGUGCAAUCCUAAAAUGGUUGUUGCUUUGCUGUCUCACGAUGACAUAGACACAACUGUGCUUGAUAAUGAAGGUGUUACAGCAGCUUGGGUAUUAGCUCAUGUCAUUGAUCAUGCGAAGACUUUAAACUGGAAUGAAGUGAGCAUGCUUAUGGUGAGAGCUGAUCCGCAAGAUGCCAAAACUCUUUAUAAUCUUCACACGCAUACCAAACACAAAGCGACCUUAGAAUCAAGGAAGGAGGCGAAGUCACUAACUCAAACAUACACAAGCAACACUUCGCUAGUGGCGAUCCUCAUCACGACAGUCACCUUUGCCGCUGCCUUCACCCUGCCUGGAGGAUACAGCAAUGAUGCCGGAAGCGAGGGACUUCCCAUCAUGUCUAGGAAGUUAUCAUUUCAGGCAUUCUUGAUUUCUGACGUCUUAGCAAUGUGCUGCUCAUUUGCUGUCGCCUUCAUAUGCAUCAUAGCAAGGUGGGGGGAUUAUGAGUUCUUGAUUUAUUACAUAUCCGCCACUAAGAAGCUUAUGUGGUUUGCAUAUGUGGCAACAACUACGGCAUUUUCAACUGGUUUAUACACUGUGUUGGCUCCACGUCUUCACUGGUUGGCUAUUGCAAUUUGCGUCAUGGUAGCUUUGUUGCCCAUUUUCACUAAGCUGCUGGGCGAAUGGCCGGUGUUGAAGCUCAGAUUUCGGCUUGGUAAAACUUUCAACUCUGAUCUCCUUGACAUGGUGUGA